GGAAUACCCUCCAGCGUGUCGUGUAUUAUAAAGCUUUCAAUAACAGAGGCUCAUUCAGUCUUCCGGCCGCAUUUCUGAGGGAGGGUCAUACACAAGGAGUUUUCUUUUUCCCAACAGUUCCUGUUUUAACCACUAUUUGCAUAAUAUUUUGGGGAACAGAAUAGCAGUAUGAGAACACUGGUUGCCAUUCUGCUUUUCGCUGCAUUGGUUCACUUUUCAGCUACGGCCAUGUCUUACCGAAGGAGUGAAUGGAAACCGUGUCUUCAAUGUGGACGUGAUUUUCCUAGACACAGCGGUAUCUUCACGUGUCCAAAAUGCCAGGUAA